CCUACGGGGGGCAGCAGUGGGGAAUAUUGCACAAUGGGGGAAACCCUGAUGCAGCAACGCCGCGUGAAGGAAGACGGUUUUCGGAUUGUAAACUUCUGUUCUUAGUGAAGAAUAAUGACGGUAGCUAAGGAGCAAGCCACGGCUAACUACGUGCCAGCAGCCGCGGUAAUACGUAGGUGGCAAGCGUUGUCCGGAAUUACUGGGUGUAAAGGGAGCGCAGGCGGGAAGCCAAGUCAGCUGUGAAAACUACGGGCUUAACUUGUAGACUGCAGUUGAAACUGGUUUUCUUGAGUGAAGUAGAGGUUGGCGGAAUGCCGAGUGUAGCGGUGAAAUGCGUAGAUAUUCGGAGGAACACCGGUGGCGAAGGCGGCCAACUGGGCUUUAACUGACGCUGAGGCUCGAAAGUGUGGGGAGCGAACAGGAUUAGAUACCCCAGUAGUC
rnacentral:rRNA from 1 species